AAUGAUCCUUUGUUCAAUAUCAAAGUUUUAAGAUAGGCAUUCUUUAAAGAUUAUUAGAUGCAUAUCAUCAUGGCACAGCAUGGCAAAAGGAGAUACACAUAUCACCGUUGCCAUGAGAGUGUACAGCAGUCCUGUCUUCCAGAUGCCUUACGAGUAUUCUCUUUGCUUUGCCCUCAGAGACUCUUCCUCGAUAGGAAUGAAUUUUUUGACAAAAACCAGGUAAGGAUGUGUAAAUGGAAACAGUCAGAGUUGCACGCCCCAG
rnacentral:lncRNA from 1 species